UCUGUUAAAAUUUGUUAAUCUACCAGGUCCUGGGCUUUUUCGGGGGGUUGGUAGGCUAUUUAUUACAGAUUCAAUUUUUGGAGCUCAUAAUUGGUCUAUUCAGAGACUGAAUUUCUUCCUGGUUCAGUCUUGAGGAGUAUAUGUGUCCAGGAAUUUAUUAAUCUCUUCUAGGGUUUCUAGUUUGUGUGUAUAGAGGUGCUCGUAGUAGUUGCUGGUUGUUAUUUUUAUUUCCCUGGGGUCAGUGGUAACAUUCCCUUCAUCAUUUCUAAUUUUGUUUAUUUGAAUCUUCUCUCUUUUCUUCUUUAUUAGUCUAGCUAGUGCCCUAUCUAUCUUAUUAAUUUUUUCAAAAAACCUUGAUUAAGUGAUCUCUUGAACAGUUUUUCAUGUCUCAAUUUCUUUCAAUUCAGCUCUGGUUUUAGUUAUUUCUUGUCUUCUAUAAGCUUUGUGGUUGAGUUCUUCUUGUUUCUCUAAUUCUUUCAGUUGUGGUGUUAGGUUGUUAAUUUGAGAUAUUUCUAAUUUUUUGAUAUGGGCAUUACUUCUUAUGCCCCACUCUAACUUUUGUCCUUCUAGAAAACUCAGAACUAUGCCUUCUAAACCAAUUGAAACUUUCUCAGUGAAUCAACCUGUUCUUCCUGAGGCAAAGUUAGCAAUUUUCCGUUACACAUGGUUCUUUCUCUGUAAGAAUAUCUAAUGCAACAAUGCAAGUGUUUCUUUCCCUCCUGGUAAUGUGGGGAACUCCUUUUAGCUAAGACCAAGACUUAAAACCUUGUUCUUUCAACAUUAAUGAAGAUCUAUUUAGAAAGCCUCCAUUUUUACAGAAAAGAUAUAUAAACACCAAUGAAAAUGAAUAUGAAAUUAUAUGACACAAUUACAUUGUGGAAAGACUGAAUAAAUAAGUGAACUAAGCUCUAAGAAAAAAUAUGAUGAUAUAAAAAGAUAUAGAAGUAAAAACCUGGGCUGGUAUAGCAUAAUUAAUGUAUCAGUAAAGUAUGUACAGUGUAGAAGUGGCAGAAAGACAGCAUAGAGAGUAAGACCUGACCAAAAGCUUUAAGAAAAGUUCUAUACCCUUAAACGAGAUUAAAGUGGACUCAGGAAAACAUGGGACACAUGAGGGAAAGGACACAUGCUCCAGAUGGGCCAAAGCUCAGAGCAUCUCUACCUUCUCCAGGAGGAAAGGGGAGGCAAAGCAGCAGGCAGAAGACAGCACAGCCAGGUCAGCACAGGGCGAAGCCAGGUGGGCUCCAUCAUACAGGUAGUGAGGAGCCACUGCCAGUGGUGGGAUUGCUGAAUCAGACAGAGCCAAUGGAUGAUCAGUAAUGGUGGCCAAUCAUCAGCUAGAAACAAAGAACUUAGCAGGGCUUGAAAACACCAAAACUCUGAGACCACUGACCUUCAAAAACUUCAACAGCCCUGAGUGAAAAGUCCAAACACAUUUAUCUACCAUUCAAAGAUGCUUUAUUGUCUGUCCUCUGUGCAUCUCAGUAGCCUCUUUUUACCACACUGUCUCUAUACUGCAUGAGCCAUUUAUAUGAAACUAUCUGACUCUCCAUGGCAUCUUAUACCAUGUAUUCAACCAUGUAUCCCUAGUACCUAGCACAGUCUUGGUAUAUAGUUUGCUACUAAACUUUUGCAGAAUGAAGGAAUUAUCUUGUAUCGAGGUUCCAAGUUUUAAGGUGAUUCUUCACUAAGAAAAAGUAUUACAGUUCACAAAUAAUCUACUUCCCUUUUUACAGAUGGGAUCAAUUUUAAUCUUAUCUCCUAAUAACAUUACUUUCAUUUAUUCUGAUCUAAAUAUUCUGUCCUAAGAGAGCAAUAAGAAAGAGAGUUGAAGCUGGAGUUUGAAGAAUUGUACAUGGUUCUAUGAUACCUUACCUUGUUUUAACCUGAGUGACUCUCCCCUAGCAGAGAGAGAGCCAGACAGACUCUAUUUUAGUUUCUUCACGUGCAACCCCCUUUACCUCCCUCCCUUAAGGGCAUAACUAGUGUAAACUGACUCAAAGCACAUCCAGGAAUGCACAUACUGAUAAGAUAUUGAGGCAAGCUGCACCAGCAGCUCCUAGGGACGUGCUUGGUGAAUGUCACCCAAAACCCCUGCAUUUCUCUCUUUGUGAUAGUUUAAGUCCCUGCACCUGGAACUGUUUCUUUGUUGUGUAACUGCUUUUGUAACCAAUUAAUUUUUUAACUAUUUGCCAGCUCUGCUUCAGUAAAAAUUGUUUCAGUUAAACUCCCCCCUCCCCUAUUUAGACCACGGAAUAAAAACAAAAUCAGCCCCUUCCUCGGGGCCAAGAGAAUUUUCAGCGUUAGCUGCCUCUCCGUCGCUGGCUAAUAAAGGAUUCCUUAAUUUGUCUCAAAGUGUGGCGUUCCUCUAUAACUCGCUUGGUUACAACAGUCCACACUGUGGCCUGAGGUGCAUCGCCCACCUGAGCUUCAUCUGUUAUCUAUGUCAGGGAAGAUAAGCAGGGUGAGAGUGGCCUCAUCAGAAGACCCAAGAUCUCUGGCUUCCCCAUCUGGCAAGUGCACCUCUGUGAACAAAGACUUCAGAGCCAGAUGACAAGAAUGGCCCAAGCAGUCCACCAGGGAAACUUGGGCCCAGUGUACAUCAAUGCAGAGCGUCAAGCAUGGCAUAACAGGUGGACAGUUGCCUAUUCCUGUUCAGAGAUGACUGCAUCCCACACACUGUAAAAUGAAGAAAUGCAGAGAAGCAGAUGUAACUGAAGCAGACAGCAGGAACAACAAGGAAGGACAACCACGACCUAGGAGGGCACCAUGCCAGAGAUGCCUGGACCCUAUGCUAGGCUCAGUGCCUGUUAUACUCUUGGGAUCCAGCGCUUUCCCUCUCCAUCACAAUGCAUACUUGGCAUUAUUUGUUGUUUAAAAUAUUUUCCUUAGUUUUCACCUUUCCUAGGAGACACAGGCAGACCCUGUGACACUACAGCUUCUGGCACACAGUAGGUGCAUCACAAACAUCUGUUGAGUUCACACACUCUUGCCUUCUCAAACCUUUUUGUCAAGUCUUCAGUGAAAAGGAAUUGCUGAUUGAGCAAGAAUUAAACUUCUAGAGACUUCUGGAUCCACUGAAGUUUAAGACAAGAGGGGUCUGUUUCUAUUUUAAACAGCUCUAGUCAGGAAGUGUUAGAAAGUUCUAAACAGGAAAUGUUCCAACACACCAUCCAAGCAUGAAGCAGGAGACACCUAUAAUUGAGCUUGCUGCCACCAACCCCAACAGCAAGAAUUCCAGUCCUGCUGCUGCAAAGUAGAAUUAUCGUUUGACUUCUGUUUUGCUGACAAGAAAUGUCCUGAGCAAGGCUACCUGGGAAAAUGACCUCACACAUGGAAAACGUUGGAGCCCAUCUGUUUCCAAUGUGCUGUUUUCCGAAAAUUAGGGAAGUUCAGUUUUCCCUUUGACACUCUCUCUUACUACCAAUCCCAAUGCCAGGGCUGUCCUGCUUCUACAAGUGACAAUGACAAAUAUGGGCCUGAAGAAAGAUGAGCUGAUGGCAUUCCCAGCUUAUUACCUCUCCUUGGGGUCCUUAUCUCACAUACAUGAAUUCAACUCAUAAACUCAGCUGGGUGAGGAUCUGUUAUUCAGCUACAUAAGAAGUGAUUGCUUAAGACUCGGGUGUGUGGUGAAAUGAGGCAGAAUUUUCUCAAUGGAAUGUUGGGAGAAUUUUCUCAUUAUUACCAUCUUACUAUCACUAAAUCAUAGCUAAAAUGAAGACAUUGUUCAAGAAGAAAUAGAAAUGUAACCUUAUGAGGACAUAAAUUUAGAGAUUUGUGGAGAGCUCUUCAUAAUUUUAUGGUGUUGUCUUUGAGCUGGGAUUAUAGUUGACAUUUCAUUAUAAUAUAUUAGCUGUUCUAGACUUUAUGCAUUUAUGCAGUUUUCUUUAUUGUACUUUAAGUUCUGUGAUACAUGGGCAGAGCAUGCAGGUUUGUUACAUAGUUAUACACGUGUCGUGGUGGUUUGCUGCACCCAUCAACCCGUCAUCUACAUAUGUAUUUCUCCUAACGCUAUUCCUCCCCUAGCCUCCCACCCCAUGACAGGCCCCAGUGUGUGAUGUUCCCCUCCCUGUGUCCAUGUGUCCU
rnacentral:lncRNA from 1 species